UAGGGAAUAUUAGAAAUGGACGAAAGUCUGAUCUAGCAACACCGCGUGUGCGAAGAAGGCCUUCGGGUCGUAAAGCACUUUUUGGAAGGAAUAGGAAGGAAUGUACUUCCAGAAUAAGUCUCGGCUAACUACGUGCCAGCAGCCGCGGUAACACGUAGGAGGCGAACGUUAUCCGGAUUUACUGGGCGUAAAGCGCGUGUAGGUGGUACUGUAAGUAGGGCGUGAAAGCUCCUGGCUCAACUGGGAGAGGCCGUUCUAAACUACAGAACUAGAGGAUGGUAGAGGGAGGUGGAAAUCCAGGUGUAGCGGUGGAAUGCGCAGAUAUCUGGAGGAACACCGGUGGCGAAGGCGGCCUCCUGGACCAUUCAUGACACUCAGACGCGAAAGCUGGGGUAGCAAACGG
rnacentral:rRNA from 1 species